ensembl:misc_RNA 7SK 7SK RNA
GGAUGUAAGGGCGAUCUGGCUGCGACAUCUGUCACCCCAUUGAUCUCCAGGGUUGAUUCAGCUGAUCAGGAUGGCUAAGCGGGUGUCCCCUUCCUCCCUCACCGCUCUAUGUGCGCCCCUCCCAAAGCUGUGCGCUCAGUGGAAGAGGACGGCCUUCCCAAAUAGAGACAGACCGGUCUUUGGUCGAGGGUCUACGAGUAGCUGCACUCCCCUGCUAGAACCUCCAAACAAGCUCUCAUUCUGCAAGUACUAACCCCCAGCAAUAAGCCUGGUGGCAAUAAAAAAAUUUUAUUAAGUAAAAUAAUU